GUCUUGACGGUACCUNNNCAGUAAGCCCCGGCUAACUACGUGCCAGCAGCCGCGGUAAUACAUAGGGGGCAAGCGUUAUNCGGAAUUAUUGGGCGUAAAGCGCGCGUAGGCGGUUUNUUAAGUCUGAUGUGAAAUCCCACGGCUCAACCUGGGAANUGCAUUGGAAACUGGNNAACUUGAGUGNGGAAGAGGNAAGUGGAAUUNCAUGUGUAGCGGUGAAAUGCGCAGAUAUAUGNAGGAACACCAGUGGCGAAGGCGACUUUCUGGACUGUUACUGACNCUGAUGUGCGAAAGCGUGGGGAUCAAACAGGAUUAGAUACCCUGGUAGUCCACGCCGUAAACGAUGACUGCUAAGNCGUUAGGAGCUUUCAGCCUCUUAGUGCUGGAGCUAACGCAUUAAGCACUCCGCCUGGGGAGUACGACCGCAAGGUUGAAACUCAAAGGAAUU
rnacentral:rRNA from 1 species